UGUCUUGGAACUCCCUCUGUAGACCAGGCUA
rnacentral:piRNA from 1 species